ensembl:lncRNA
GUAAUGAGGACACUUUACUACAGCAUUACUAAAACCCCACUAUGACUGGGAAAAACUUCCAGCUACAUUCAGCUGCAGACAAUCAGUCAUCAGAGAUGCUUCAUGGCACAUCUACACGACUCUCUUCCCCAGGCUUCCCAGGCCUGAAAUGCAGAGAAGUAUUGGACAUUCAGCCUGAAAAUCCAGCCAACAAUCUCUGUGCUUCAAUUCAUUCUACAGAACAUAUCUUUGUACAGAUUUACAGGCCUAGAACUCAGUAAACAGCAUCUCUAUGCAAGUUUCUAGCAGUCAUCUUCUGGAAUUUCAGUUUCAUUUGCAUUUUUACCAUCAUAUAACAACUCCAGACAGAACCACCACUGGAGUUUUUCAGAAAGAAUUAGUGGUAUUUAUUUGGCAUCCAACUUUUGGGGAUUAAAUGAGAGCAAAAAUCUCAAACUCUGACAUAGAUUACCCCUGAUGCAUCCUUUCUAACCUCUGGCUGUGGACAUACUUCCUAGUAAACCAAGUGUAUGCAGAGACCUACUCUUACAUUCACUCAAUCCAAAAGACCAAUUCAAGAACAUACGUGACACUUAGCUAUGCAUGCAAAAAAUUUUUAAGGCUGUCAAAUAACUCUGCCUACACUGACUGCUUGAGCUAACAGGGUUUUCAACAGUGAAGUCAAGACCUGGCACAGUGUAUCAUACACCUUCACUAGAAACUCUUUAAUCUGAGGGAAAAAGAUGAAGCUCCUUCAAUCUUUUAUACUGGGAGUGUUUCUUUGAAAUAAGUAUCAAAAUCAGCCACAUUCUUCACAAUCUAACAUCAAAGUAUUGGAGGUUGGUGGGGUUUUUCUUGUGGCUGUUUUAUGGCUUUUUUAUUUAAUUAAGCCAGGAAAGAAGACCGCACAGUAGAAAAAAAAUCGCUUCAGGAAUUUUUUUUUUUCCCCAGUAUACUCGUGCAAAACUUCAUCAGAACAAAAAGCAUAAAUAAUAGAUACAUAACUACAGUAAAAUAUUGGCUAUGCAGGCUUAAUUUCCUCUGGGUGCCUAAAGAACAGCAUGAAUAAACUUCAGCUACUGUAACACAGAGUAGAAAAAUGAAUUUGAAUGUAAGGCUCCUUUAUGACUGGAAACUAUUACCUGCAGGUUUCACUUAAAUAGGUCCCUAAAGGCAAGCAAGAGGCUGUUUCCAUAUGUAUGGGUUCUGCUGGACAAAGGCUAGCUGGACUGACCAUUUAGAGCAGCCUGCCACUUAUGACAAAGUGCUUCCUCCUGGAUACUGGGGAGAAAGGACAUUUGCCAGUUCGCCAUUGGCCUGCAGUACGCUUAUGAAGUUGCAGUAGAUUUUGCUAAUCGCCCCUGCUCUCUCCAACAGACUUUAGUAAGCAGACACCUUGUCAAAGUUUCCAUGUUGCUCUGAAAAAAAUAAACAAACAGGACUACGACCUUUGGCACAGGAGAACACACGUGCAAGUCUGUAUUAAUGAACCCUACUCUGCACCCCUGUGAAACAACUACUAGCCAGACAACAGGGAAACGUUUGAUAAUCUCUCCAAGCUAGGAGCUGAUACCUUAUCUGUCACUGAAAACUGCUUCCCUCUUUGCAGCUCUACACAACCAUAGUUGGUCUGUGCGGCUUGAUGCCAUACCAUUUUCAUCAUGACAAAUGCAU